UAUUCCAAAAGCGGAGGAAAAGAAACCAACCGGGAUUGCCUUAGUAACGGCGAGUGAAGCGGCAAAAGCUCAAAUUUGAAAUCUGGCGUCUUCGACGUCCGAGUUGUAAUUUGAAGAAGGCGACUUUGUAGCUGGUCCUUGUCUAUGUUCCUUGGAACAGGACGUCAUAGAGGGUGAGAAUCCCGUGUGGCGAGGAUCCCAGUUAUUUGUAAAGUGCUUUCGACGAGUCGAGUUGUUUGGGAAUGCAGCUCUAAGUGGGUGGUAAAUUCCAUCUAAAGCUAAAUAUUGGCGAGAGACCGAUAGCGAACAAGUACAGUGAUGGAAAGAUGAAAAGAACUUUGAAAAGAGAGUGAAAAAGUACGUGAAAUUGUUGAAAGGGAAGGGCAUUUGAUCAGACAUGGCGUUUGCUUCGGCUUUCGCUGGGCCAGCAUCAGUUUUAGCGGUUGGAUAAAUCCUCGGGAAUGUGGCUCUGCUUCGGUAGAGUGUUAUAGCCCGUGGGAAUACAGCCAGCUGGGACUGAGGAUUGCGACUUUUGUCAAGGAUGCUGGCGUAAUGGUUAAAUGCCGCCCGUCUUGAACCACCGGACCA
rnacentral:rRNA from 1 species